UGGUUCUGGCAUNGAUGAAGAACGCAGCGAAAUGCGAUAAGUAAUGUGAAUUGCAGAAUUCAGUGAAUCAUCGAAUCUUUGAACGCACAUUGCGCCCCUUGGUAUUCCGAAGGGCAUGCCUGUUCGAGCGUCAUUAAAACCCUCAAGCAAUGCUUGGUGUUGGGCACAGCCUUGAGUGGCCGGCCUUAAAAUCAGUGGCAGUGCUAUCAUGGCUCCUAAGCGUAGUAAAUUUUCUCGCUACAGGGUUUGGUAACUUCUAGCCAUCAAAAUCUCAAUAUUUUCUGUUUGACCUCGGAUCAGGUAGGGAUACCCGCUGA
rnacentral:misc_RNA from 1 species